rnacentral:rRNA from 1 species
UACGUAGGUGGCAAGCGUUAUUCGGAUUUAUUGGGCGUAAAGGGAACGCAGGCGGUCUUUUAAGUCUGAUGUGAAAGCCUUCGGCUUAACCGGAGUAGUGCAUUGGAAACUGGGAGACUUGAGUGCAGAAGAGGAGAGUGGGACUCCAUGUGUAGCGGUGAAAUGCGUAGAUAUAUGGAAGAACACCAGUGGCGAAAGCGGCUCUCUGGUCUGUAACUGACGCUGAGGUUCGAAAGCGUGGGUAGCAAACAGG